UGAGCCUGGGAGGCUGGGAGGUUGAGACUGA
rnacentral:piRNA from 1 species